rnacentral:rRNA from 1 species
GUAGUUGAAUUUCGGGUAUUUGUUGCUAGCUGGUCUAACUGGCCAUGUUGGUUAACAGAUCCUCAUUUGCUGGACGGCUGGCGAUGAUCUUUAUCGGUUGUCGUCAGUUGCCAGAACGUUUACUUUGAGAAAAUUAGAGUGCUAAAAGCAGGCUCACGCCUAUAUAUAUUGCAUGGAAUAAUGAAAUAAGAUCUCGAUUUUAUUUCGUUGGUUUUAGAAAUUGAGAUAAUGAUUAAUAGGAUCAGAGGGGGGCGUACGUACUGUGGUGUGAGAGGUGAAAUUCUUGGAUCGCCACAGGACGAACAGCAGCGAAGGCGUUCGCCAAGAAUGUUUUCAUUAAUCAAGAACGAAAGUUUGAGGUUCGAAGACGAUUAGAUACCGUCCUAGUUCAAACCAUAAACGUUGCCAACUGUCUUUUAGAUGCGGUUAUUUAUAUGACUCAUCUGGCGGAUCUCGAGAAAUCUAAGUUUUUAGGUUCCGGGGGAAGUAUGGUUGCAAAGCUGAAACUUAAAAGAAUUGACGGAAGGACACACAAGAAGUGGAGCCUGUGGCCUAAUUUGACUCAACACGGGAAACCUUACUCGGCCA